UGAACGCUAGCGGCAGGCUUAACACAUGCAAGUCGAGGGGGUAUAGGGAGCUUGCUUCCUAGAGACCGGCGCACGGGUGCGUAACGCGUAUGCAAUCUACCUUUUGCAGAGGGAUAGCCCAGAGAAAAUUUGGAUUAAUACCUCAUAGUAUGUGAGAAUGGCAUCAUUUUCACAUUAAAGUCACAACGGCAAAAGAUGAGCAUGCGUCCCAUUAGCUUGUUGGUAAGGUAACGGCUUACCAAGGCAACGAUGGGUAGGGGUCCUGAGAGGGAGAUCCCCCACACUGGUACUGAGACACGGACCAGACUCCUACGGGAGGCAGCAGUGAGGAAUAUUGGACAAUGGGCGCAAGCCUGAUCCAGCAAUGCCGCGUGCAGGAUGAAGGCCUUCGGGUUGUAAACUGCUUUGUACGGAACGAAACGGUGAGCUCUAAUACAGUUUGCUAAUGACGGUACCGUAAGAAUAAGCACCGGCUAACUACGUG
rnacentral:rRNA from 1 species